rnacentral:rRNA from 1 species
CCAGCAGCCGCGGUAAUUCCAGCUCCAAUAGCGUAUAUUAAAGUUGUUGCAGUUAAAAAGCUCGUAGUUGGAUUUCUGUUAAUAAUUUAUAUAAAAUAUUUUGAUGAAUAUUUAUAUAAUAUUAACAUAAUCAUAUUACUAUUUUUUUUUUUAGUAUAUGAAAUUUUACUUUGAGAAAAUUAGAGUGCUUAAAGCAGGCAUAUGCCUUGAAUACUCCAGCAUGGAAUAAUAUUAAAGAUUUUUAUCUUUUUUAUUGGUUCUAAGAUAAGAAUAAUGAUUAAUAGGGACAGUUGGGGGCAUUUGUAUUUAACAGUCAGAGGUGAAAUUCUUAGAUUUGUUAAAGACAAACUAAUGCGAAAGCAUUUGCCAAGGAUGUUUUCAUUAAUCAAGAACGAAAGUUAGGGGAUCGAAGACGAUCAGAUACCGUCGUAGUCUUAACCAUAAACUAUGCCAACUAGAGAUUGGAGGUUGUU